rnacentral:lncRNA from 1 species
GGUCAAUCGUAGGUAUAUCUACGGCCGAUCAAGCAAAAAUAUCCAUAUUUUUCUAUAAAAAGAAGGUUACCUGAUUUUGAAUUACCUCAUUUAGGUUUGACCCUAUCCGAACUGUGUGCCCUUCAUCUCCAUCAUUCUAAGAAAUUAACACAAUGUCCACCGAGUCCUCUCACUCUUUGGUCAGUUCAUCACGGGUGUCUAACCUUGCGAUAGGAAGAACGUCAGGCGAUCUUGCUCCCUAUAGGGCAAUCAUGUAGUAGUAUCAUGCUAGUGCCUAAUCUCCUCGGACCUCCUUGGUCCCAUGUUUGGUCAGAAACUUUAUUAGUAAAUGAUAGGUCGACACCAUGGCUCUAAGGAUAUUCAGUAUCAACCGCCUUAAGAUAGCGUUAUAGGUCGAGGGUGCUUUGAUGACCAAGAAAUCAAUAUUAAUAGUGGACUAUCAGGGUUCCCUUCG